rnacentral:rRNA from 1 species
UACCAGCACCCCGAGUGGUCGGGACGAUUAUUGGGCCUAAAGCAUCCGUAGCCGGUUCUGCAAGUCCCCCGUUAAAUCCAGCUGCUCAACAGAUGGGCCGCGGAGGAUACUAUAGAGCUAGGAGGCGGGAGAGGCAAGCGGUACUUAGUGGGUAGGGGUAAAAUCCGUUGAUCCAUUGAAGACCACCAGUGGCGAAGGCGGCUUGCCAGAACGCGCUCGACGGUGAGGGAUGAAAGCUGGGGGAGCAAACCGG